GAACGCUGGCGGCGUGCCUAAUACAUGCAAGUAGAACGCUGAAGAGAGGAGCUUGCUCUUCUUGGAUGAGUUGCGAACGGGUGAGUAACGCGUAGGUAACCUGCCUUGUAGCGGGGGAUAACUAUUGGAAACGAUAGCUAAUACCGCAUAACAAUGGAUGACACAUGUCAUUUAUUUGAAAGGGGCAAUUGCUCCACUACAAGAUGGACCUGCGUUGUAUUAGCUAGUAGGUGAGGUAAUGGCUCACCUAGGCGACGAUACAUAGCCGACCUGAGAGGGUGAUCGGCCACACUGGGACUGAGACACGGCCCAGACUCCUACGGGAGGCAGCAGUAGGGAAUCUUCGGCAAUGGGGGCAACCCUGACCGAGCAACGCCGCGUGAGUGAAGAAGGUUUUCGGAUCGUAAAGCUCUGUUGUAAGUCAAGAACGGGUGUGAGAGUGGAAAGUUCACACUGUGACGGUAGCUUACCAGAAAGGGACGGCUAACUACGUGCCAGCAGCCGCGGUAAUACGUAGGUCCCGAGCGUUGUCCGGAUUUAUUGGGCGUAAAGCGAGCGCAGGCGGUUUGAUAAGUCUGAAGUUAAAGGCUGUGGCUCAACCAUAGUUCGCUUUGGAAACUGUCAAACUUGAGUGCAGAAGGGGAGAGUGGAAUUCCAUGUGUAGCGGUGAAAUGCGUAGAUAUAUGGAGGAACACCGGUGGCGAAAGCGGCUCUCUGGUCUGUAACUGACGCUGAGGCUCGAAAGCGUGGGGAGCGAACAGGAUUAGAUACCCUGGUAGUCCACGCCGUAAACGAUGAGUGCUAGGUGUUGGAUCCUUUCCGGGAUUCAGUGCCGCAGCUAACGCAUUAAGCACUCCGCCUGGGGAGUACGACCGCAAGGUUGAAACUCAAAGGAAUUGACGGGGGCCCGCACAAGCGGUGGAGCAUGUGGUUUAAUUCGAAGCAACGCGAAGAACCUUACCAGGUCUUGACAUCCCGAUGCUAUUUCUAGAGAUAGAAAGUUACUUCGGUACAUCGGUGACAGGUGGUGCAUGGUUGUCGUCAGCUCGUGUCGUGAGAUGUUGGGUUAAGUCCCGCAACGAGCGCAACCCCUAUUGUUAGUUGCCAUCAUUCAGUUGGGCACUCUAGCGAGACUGCCGGUAAUAAACCGGAGGAAGGUGGGGAUGACGUCAAAUCAUCAUGCCCCUUAUGACCUGGGCUACACACGUGCUACAAUGGUUGGUACAACGAGUUGCGAGUCGGUGACGGCGAGCUAAUCUCUUAAAGCCAAUCUCAGUUCGGAUUGUAGGCUGCAACUCGCCUACAUGAAGUCGGAAUCGCUAGUAAUCGCGGAUCAGCACGCCGCGGUGAAUACGUUCCCGGGCCUUGUACACACCGCCCGUCACACCACGAGAGUUUGUAACACCCGAAGUCGGUGAGGUAACCUUUUGGAGCCAGCCGCCUAAGGUGGGACAGAUGAUUGG
rnacentral:rRNA from 1 species